rnacentral:rRNA from 1 species
UACGUAGGGUGCAAGCGUUAAUCGGAAUUACUGGGCGUAAAGCGUGCGCAGGCGGUUAUGUAAGACAGGUGUGAAAUCCCCGGGCUUAACCUGGGAACUGCAUUUGUGACUGCAUAGCUAGAGUACGGUAGAGGGGGAUGGAAUUCCGCGUGUAGCAGUGAAAUGCGUAGAUAUGCGGAGGAACACCGAUGGCGAAGGCAAUCCCCUGGACCUGUACUGACGCUCAUGCGCGAAAGCGUGGGGAGCAAACAGG